rnacentral:rRNA from 1 species
UGAAUACGAGAUGCUACGGCGUCGAAGCAGUCUAUGUCAUACUUCCAAGAAAAGCUUGCACUGUCAUAAACAAAUAAUGCCUGUACCAUAACCGACACAGGUGGGUAGGUAGAGUAUACUAAGGGGCGCGAGAUAACUCUCUCUAAGGAACUCGGCAAAAUGACUCCGUAACUUCGGGAGAAGGAGUGCCUUAUUUAUAAGGUUGCAAUAACAAGAUCCAAGCAACUGUUUACCAAAAACACAAGUCUCCGCUAAGUCGUAAGACGAUGUAUGGGGGCUGACGCCUGCCCAGUGCCAGAAGGUUAAAGAAGUUGGUUAGCAUCCGCGAAGCUGAUAACUGAAGCCCUGGUGAACGGCGGCCGUAACAAUAACGGUCCUAAGGUAGCGAAAUUCCUUGUCGGGUAAGUUCCGACCCGCACGAAAGGCGUAAUGAUUUGGAUACUGUCUCGGAGAGGGGCUCGGUGAAGUAGACUUGUCUGUGAAGAUGCGGACUUCCUGCACCAGGACAGAAAGACCCUAUGAAGCUUUACUGUAACCUGAAAUUGAAAUUGGACUUUACUUGCGCAGUAUAGGUGGGAGGCGUUGAGAAUAUUCUUGCGGGAUUAUUGGAGCCAUCAGUGAGAUACCACUCUUGUAAUGUUAGAUUUCUAACUUUGUAUCAUUAUCUGGUCAAAGAACAGUUUCAGGCGGGCAGUUUGACUGGGGCGGUCGCCUCCUAAACGGUAACGGAGGCGCACAAAGGUUUCCUCUGAACGGGCAGAAAUCGUAUCUAGAGUGUAAGGGCAUAAGGAAGCUUGACUGUGAGACCUACAAGUCGAGCAGGGACGAAAGUCGGUCUUGUGAUCUGACGGUGCUGAGUGGAAAGGCCGUCACUCAACGGAUAAAAGUUACUCUAGGAUAACAGGCUGAUCUCCCCCAAGAGUUCACAUCGACGGGGAGGUUUGGCACCUCGAUGUCGGCUCAUCGCAUCCUGGGGCGGUAGUACGUCCCAAGGGUUGGGCUGUUCGCCCAUGAAAGCGGUACGCGAGCUGGGUUCAGAACGUCGUGAGACAGUUCGGUCCAUAUCCGGUGUAGGCGUUAGAAUAUUGAGAGGAGCCUUCUUUAGUACGAGAGGACCGAGAAGGACAUACCUCUGGUGUACCAGUUAUCGUGCCAACGGUAAACGCUGGGUAGCUAUGUGUGGAGUGGAUAACCGCUGAAAGCAUCUAAGUGGGAAGCCCACCUCAAGAUAAGUAUUCGC